GAUGAACGCUGGCGGCGUGCCUAAUACAUGCAAGUCGAGCGAACGGACGCGAAGCUUGCUUCUCUGAUGUUAGCGGCGGACGGGUGAGUAACACGUGGAUAACCUACCUAUAAGACUGGGAUAACUUCGGGAAACCGGCGCUAAUACCGGAUAAUAUUUUGAACCGCAUGGUUCAAAAGUGAAAGACGGUCUUGCUGUCACUUCUAGAUGGAUCCGCGCUGCAUUAGCUAGUUGGUAAGGUAACGGCUUACCAAGGCAACGAUGCGUAGCCGACCUGAGAGGGUGAUAGGCCACACUGGAGCGUAGACACGGUCCAGACUCCUACGGGAGGCAGCAGUAGGGAAUCUGCCGCAAUGGGCGAAAGCCUGACGGAGCAACGCCGCGUGAGUGAUGAAGGUCUUCGGAUCGUAAAACUCUGUUAUUAGGGAAGAACAUAUGUGUAAGUAACUGUGCACAUCUUGACGGUACCUAAUCAGAAAGCCACGGCUAACUACGUG
rnacentral:rRNA from 1 species